CGCGGCCUAUCAGCUUGUUGGUGGGGUGAUGGCCUACCAAGGCGACGACGGGUAGCCGGCCUGAGAGGGUGUCCGGCCACACUGGGACUGAGAUACGGCCCAGACUCCUACGGGAGGCAGCAGUGGGGAAUAUUGCACAAUGGGCGCAAGCCUGAUGCAGCGACGCCGCGUGAGGGAUGACGGCCUUCGGGUUGUAAACCUCUUUCACCAGGGACGAAGCGCAAGUGACGGUACCUGGAGAAGAAGCACCGGCCAACUACGUGCCAGCAGCCGCGGUAAUACGUAGGGUGCGAGCGUUGUCCGGAAUUACUGGGCGUAAAGAGCUCGUAGGUGGUUUGUCGCGUUGUUCGUGAAAACUCACAGCUCAACUGUGGGCGUGCGGGCGAUACGGGCAGACUGGAGUACUGCAGGGGAGACUGGAAUUCCUGGUGUAGCGGUGGAAUGCGCAGAUAUCAGGAGGAACACCGGUGGCGAAGGCGGG
rnacentral:rRNA from 1 species